CACGGGGGGAGCAAGCGUUGUUCGGAAUCACUGGGCGUAAAGGGCGUGUAGGCGGUCAGGUAAGUGGGAUGUGAAAUGCCCCGGCUCACCCGGGGACCGGCAUCCCAUACUGCUUGGCUUGAGUACGGGAGAGGAUGUGGGAAUUCCUGGUGUAGCGGUGAAAUGCGUAGAUAUCAGGAGGAACACCAGUGGCGAAGGCGCACAUCUGGCCCGAUACUGACGCUGAGGCGCGAAAGCUAGGGGAGCAAACGGG
rnacentral:rRNA from 1 species